rnacentral:rRNA from 1 species
UGCGUAGGUGGUCCGUUAAGUUCGUUGUGAAAUCCCUGGGCUCAACCCAGGAACUGCUUCGAAUACUGGCGGACUUGAGGCCAGUAGGGGUCACUAGAACUGACGGUGGAGCGGUGAAAUGCGUAGAUAUCGUCAGGAAUGCCGGUGGUGAAGACGGGUGACUGGGCUGGUUCUGACACUGAGGCACGAAAGCGUGGGGAGCGAACGGGAUUAGAUACCCCGGUAGUCCACGCCCUAAACGAUGCAGACUAGAUUGCAGCGGGUCUUACCCCGUUGCGGUCGGAGCGAAAUUGUUAAGUCUGCCACCUGGGAAGUACGGUCGCAAGGCUAAA